CAAUAUUUCUAGGCUACAAGGUUCAUCUGCAAGUUUCUUCAAAUGGUUGCAAUGCUUACUGCAACCUCCAUCUCCUAGGCUCCAGUGAUCCUCCUGCCUCAGCCUCCCAAAGUGCUGGGAUUACAAGCAUGAGCAGUAGCUCAUUUUUGUCCAAAAGCUGCAUUUCCAAGACCAGGUUUUGGCAGUUACAGGUUGCAGGGUUCUCUGGGCCCAUCCAGGAGAUGAGAGAGAAAAAGAAAACUCAGGGCCUGGUACAGCAUCACCCCCAAAGUCCCGAGGUUCCUGGACAGCCUUUCUUCCUCUCCACUUCCUAGAGUCCUCUUAUGUCUGUUAAAUUUUUUCCAGGGUGUCUAGUUGUAUUUAGAGGGCAGAUGCUACCUCCUCAUAGAAUGCCGGGGUCCACUCUCCAGGCAUUUGGAAUGAGUUGCCACGAGGUCCUCGGGAGGGUGUGACAGUUCACAUGCCCACCAGCAGCGUUUCCACGUCUCCAUUUCCUCUGCCCCUGACAGCAUCUAAUGUUAUGAUUUUUGUUUGUAAAUUUGGCUUUUGGUUCCUUUAUGAGGGGAUUAAUUAAUACAGGCUGCUGGCUCCUUCCCACGAAUCCAAACCUUGGAGAUGCCAUCAAAGGGAUGACAGUUGAUGGAGCCCAGAACCUAAGAGGACCCCUGAGAGCCUUGCGGAGGCUGGGCAAACGUGGUGGAGUCUGGGACAGGAGGGGAACCACAGUCUGAGUGGAGGAGGCCACACAGCACAACCCGGGCCAGACUGCAGCUCUCUGCUCCGGGGCCCACCUGGGGCUGUCAUCUGUCGGCCCUGCUUUCCUGUAGAAGAUCCCAUCUGUACCAGCCCCAGGAAUCUAGGCAAGGCCAGAGCACCUCAGGAGCCUCCUGGACUGAAGGCCACAACACCUUGGCAGGCUGGCUGGUCGCCCCUGGGCAGCCUUCCUCCCCAGCCCAAGGACAGCCAAUUACAGCACAGGGCAGCCCUGGACAGACAGCACCAGCUAGGAGGACAGGGGCAUUCCCUGCAGACCAGAGCAGCCCCUGGGGAUGAGCAAAGAGGGCCCCAGUCAUCCUGCCAGAGGCUCUGCCCCGAGGAGCCCCUGCCUGCCUCCCUGAAACCCACCAGGAAGGUGUCAACUGGGGCCUAAGACGAAGGCAGCUGACCAUACCCACGGAACAGAGAGCGGCCUGAGGAAAUGAGACAGCGAGGGGAGUGAACUCCGGGAGGGAAAAACCCCAAGGUUUUAUCCUUGGAGGAGGGAGCAGAUGAGCGGAUAAGACCGGUAAAUCCGUCACAUACCCUCAGGACGCAGGGAGAGCGCGGCUGGAAUCGGCAGUUAUGCAGAAGAUGCAGCCGGGAAUACUGGACUGGAACACGCGGGCGCUUAAGUGAUGAACUUGGUGGGAAGGUUGGAGACCAGAAAAUGAACGAGUGAGACAGGUCAGGCUCUGAGCUCUUCUAGAAGGAUCUGAAGGUGUUGAGGAGGCAGAGGUGAGGGAGGAAAAAUAUUCAGUGCUUGGAAGAGGAAAAAUGAAUAGAUAAGAGGAAAUAUCUGAAAAAUGAUUAGGAAAUUUCCCCAAUUAAGAAAAGAUGCACAUCCUCAAACUGAAAGGGCCUGCAGAGUGUUAAUUACAUUUUAAAGUUAAAAUCUUAUGUGUAAUUUCAAAGAAAAGCAUCUACAUUUUGAGUCAAAAUUGCUAAAAACUUCCAAAGAGAAAAAGCAGGUAACCCGCACAGGAACGGGAGUGGUGCUGACAUUAGAAUCGCGGCACAGACAACGGAUGCAAGAAGAAAGGGAGUGACAGCUUCAGACGCGAGAGGAAAGGACCCUGGAACCCAGGGCUGCGUCCUGCUCACCGCCAUGAAAUAUGGGCACGCAGGAAGCCAUCCUCAGUCCUAUCAGCCCCCUUGAGAGUCAACCCCAAAAACACUCUUGGAGAAAUAUUUCAGCAAGAAAAAGGAACCGGGGAGGAUGCUGCCAGGUCUAGGGAGGAGUUGUGCUUCCCCAGCGUGGAUGGUUCACUGCCAUCUAAGUAAGCAAUGACCUCCGCGUGUGCCGCACAGUCCAGCUUCCUCAGAGGCGGUGGUGGCCUGGUGGAGGAAUGUGGGCUGGCUGGGCGGCCACAGAGAAUUACUGUUUCCAUUAAAAGGAAAUGUCUUCUGGCCGGGAGCCCUGGCUCACACUGUAAUCCCAGCAUUUUGAGAGGCUCAGGCGGGUGGAUCGCUUGAGGUCAGGAGUCUGAGACCAGCCUGGCCAACCUGGUAAAACCCUGUCUCUGCUAAAAAUACAAAACUUAGCUGGGCGUGGUGGUGGGCACCUGUAAUCUCAGCACUUUGGAAGGCUGAGGCGGGCGGAUCACUUGAGGCUAGGUGUUCGAGACCAGACUGACCAACAUGGGGAAACCCCAUGUCUACUAAAAAUACAAAAAUUAGCCUGGCAUGGGGGCACAUGCCUGUAGUCCCAGAUACUCGGGAGGCUGAGGCAGGAGAAUCGCUUGAACCCGGGAGGUGGAUGUUGCAGUGAGCCAAGAUCACACCACUGCACUCCAGCCUGGGCAACAGAGCUAGACCCUGCCUAAAAAAAGAAAAAAAGUGUCACAUGGAGAUGUGUGUCCAUUUGGGACUGUUUUCCAGCCUUUCCACACUCUCCCCCUCCCCAUCUGUCCCUCCAUCUCCACCAAGCUGUGUUUUGAUGUUGUGUUUGCAUGAUUUGGUGUAUCUGGCAUUUUAACAUUUCAUCCUUGCCACUAUUUAUUAUUUUCUGUUUCUUCAUAGUAGCCACUAAAUUGAUUUCAGGUGAUAUCUCAUUGUGGUUUUGAUUUGCAUUUAUCUAAUAAUUAGUGAUAUUUAGUGUCUUUUCAUAUGCUCAUUGGCCAUCAGUACAUCAUCUUUGGGAAAAUGUCUGUUCAAGUCAUUUGCCUGUUUUUAAAUCAGGUAAUUUGUUGAUUUGUUGUUGAACCAUGGAGACAUAAUUUUAAACCACAACACCUAUCUUGCAGAUUGCGGUGAGAACUAAAAGAUUUAUGUAUGCAGAUCAUAUUACCUGUCACGUAGUAGGCACUCAAAAAUUAUUACUUGUCUUCCUAGGGUUGUUAUGUUAAAUAAUGUUAUGUUAAUAACAUAUGUAAAACUGCUUCUUAAAUUAUAAAGUGCUAUGCAAAUGUGAGUUAAUACUACAAAGCUGUAUGCAAAAUAUUUUAAUAUUUUUCUGAGGUUCUCCAUACUUAAAUAUAUAAAUCUUUCCAUCUCUAGACUUUAUUCUGUUUUUUAGCUGUAAUCCUUUUUUUCCAUUUUACUUCAAGUUUUAUCAAAAAAAAAAAUAGCAGCCAAAAUAGAACAAGUAAAGACGGAGAAACAAUAACUAAUUUCACUAAAGCAAAGUCAGAGUAAGAUCUAUUUAAAAAUAAAACGUGAAGAAAAGUUGCAAUGGAUUACACUAUUGAAAAAUCCUAAGACAACCAGAACUGCCGUUCCUUCAGAGAAUGUGAGUGAUGUUGAAAGAUUAAUAACAUUUGGAUAACAUUAAUUACAGUGAUGUUAUAAACUCUGGUAUUCCAGUUGCCAUAAUAACCCGCUAUAUGUUGGUUUUCUAAUGACAUUUCGAACAAGUGCUGAGGCGAACUGCAUCACUUCAGAACUUUGAUUGCUGUCACUCAGUGAUUUUAAAAUUGAAUUGUUUUGUUCUUAAAGAGUCAGAAUAUGUCACUGUCUUCAGAAAUAUUCUCAAAAUUAUGGGGAGGAAGUGAUACACAUUCCUAUACAAUUAUAGAGCACUCAAAAAAAAGAAAUGUAUUUUGUUUUUAAUACAAAAUUAACAGGUUUUUUUAAUAGGGAAUAGAAAAAAACAGGAGAAAGAUUAUGCUUCAUGCUUCUCAGAAGACUUUGUUCCCUUGCAGAAUUAUUUGACAAUAAAAUUCUUUCUAGAAAAA